rnacentral:rRNA from 1 species
GUUACUGCUAUCGGAGUUCGAUUAAGCCAUGCGAGUCUAAAGGUUUCUUCGGAAACCUUGGCGGACUGCUCAGUAACACGUGGAUAACCUACCCUUGGGACUGGAAUAACCCCGGGAAACUGGGGAUAAUACCGGAUAGAUCAGGGAUGCUGGAAUGCACCUUGAUCCAAAGCUCCGGCGCCCAAGGAUGGGUCUGCGGCCUAUCAGGUAGUAGUGGGUGUAAUGUACCUACUAGCCAACGACGGGUACGGGUUGUGAGAGCAAGAGCCCGGAGAUGGAUUCUGAGACACGAAUCCAGGCCCUACGGGGUGCAGCAGGCGCGAAAACUUUACAAUGUGCGAAAGCAUGAUAAGGGAACUCCGAGUGCCAGCAUCUAAUGUUGGCUGUCCUUGUGCCUAAAACGCACAAGAUAGCAAGGGCCGGGUAAGACCGGUGCCAGCCGCCGCGGUAACACCGGCGGCCCGAGUGGUAGCCACUAUUAUUGGGUCUAAAGGGUCCGUAGCCGGUUCGAUAAGUCCUCUGGGAAAUCUGGUUGCUUAACAAUCAGACUGCCAAGGGAUACUGUCGAACUUGAGACCGGGAGAGGUAAGAGGUACUUCAGGGGUAGGAGUGAAAUCUUGUAAUCCCUGGGGGACCAUCUGUGGCGAAGGCGUCUUACCAGAACGGGUCUGACGGUGAGGGACGAAAGCUGGGGGCGCAAACCGGAUUAGAUACCCGGGUAGUCCCAGCCGUAAACGAUGCUCGCUAUGUGUCAGGUACGGUGUGACCGUAUCUGGUGCCGUAGGGAAGCCGUGAAGCGAGCCACCUGGGAAGUACGGCCGCAAGGCUGAAACUUAAAGGAAUCGGCGGGGGAGCACUACAACGGGUGGAGCCUGCGGUUUAAUUGGAUUCAACGCCGGA